UACAUAUACAUGUACUUAUUUAUUUAUUUAUUUAUUUUAUUUCAGAUAUCUAACAAAUACGACAUCCCUGAUGAGAUGAUUCACUUCAUCUACAAGAAGACAAAGAAAGGGCUGAUAGUCCGAUUUGACGAUGAGCUAGUGACACGAUUUGAAGACGAAGAUGACUUCAUUAUUGAUCUUGAUUUCGACAAUCAAAAAGGUCAUUUUGAUCUCUACAUCAGAUAUUAGCUUUAUAACAGUGUGUCUUCAAACCACCAUCUUUCAAUUCAUCAUCUACUCCUGUAAAUAAGUUGAGACUUCUGCCCUACCUCCCUCUCUCUCUCUCUCUCCCACGGUCUCUAUUCUUCUUCUUCAUGACUAUGCACCUGUUGAUUGAUUCUUCCGUUUUUGUGAAGUCUUUUAAACACCACCGCAUGUAUUAUUAAUUGACAAGAGGCGAGACCACACCCCUCACUAAUUAACCCUCCCUCUUCACAUCUCCAUUUUAUGGAGAUUUUUAAUAUUAUUAUCAUUAUUAUUAUUAUUAUUAUUUUAUUAUUGGUACAUGUGAUAAACAGAAUUUAUUUUUCUGUUUCAAACUCCUCCCCCUUCUCUCUCCCUUUCCCAAUCUCUUGUUCAUCUACUUACACUUCAUUUGCACACUAUAAGGAACAUAAUAUUAUAUUAAUUAUAAUUAUUGUUGCUUUAAAAUUAUUACAUAUA